GACGAACGCUGGCGGCGUGCUUAACACAUGCAAGUCGAACGGUGAAGGGGCCUGCUUUUGUGGGCCCUGGAUGAGUGGCGAACGGGUGAGUAACACGUGAGUAACCUGCCCCCUUCUUCUGGAUAACCGCAUGAAAGUGUGGCUAAUACGGGAUAUUCUGGGUCUGUCGCAUGAUGGGUCUGGGAAAGAUUGCGCCUUUGGGUGUUUUUGGUGGGGGAUGGGCUCGCGGCCUAUCAGCUUGUUGGUGGGGUGAUGGCCUACCAAGGCGGUGACGGGUAGCCGGCCUGAGAGGGUGGACGGUCACACUGGGACUGAGACACGGCCCAGACUCCUACGGGAGGCAGCAGUGGGGAAUAUUGCACAAUGGGCGCAAGCCUGAUGCAGCGACGCCGCGUGAGGGAUGGAGGCCUUCGGGUUGUAAACCUCUUUCGCCAGUGAAGCAGGCCUGCUCCUUGUGGGUGGGUUGACGGUAGCUGGAGAAGAAGCGCCGGCUAACUACGUG
rnacentral:rRNA from 1 species